rnacentral:rRNA from 1 species
UAGCCAGACUCCUACGGGAGGCAGCAGUGGGGAAUAUUGCACAAUGGGGGAAACCCUGAUGCAGCGACGCCGCGUGAAGGAAGAAGUCUUUCGGUAUGUAAACUUCUAUCAGCAGGGAAGAAAAUGACGGUACCUGACUAAGAAGCCCCGGCUAACUACGUGCCAGCAGCCGCGGUAAUACGUAGGGGGCAAGCGUUAUCCGGAUUUACUGGGUGUAAAGGGAGCGUAGGCGGUAAUGCAAGUCAGAAGUGAAAGCCCGGGGCUCAACUCCGGGACUGCUUUUGAAACUGUGUUGCUAGAUUGCAGGAGAGGUAAGUGGAAUUCCUAGUGUAGCGGUGAAAUGCGUAGAUAUUAGGAGGAACACCAGUGGCGAAGGCGGCUUACUGGACUGUAAAUGACGCUGAGGCUCGAAAGCGUGGGGAGCAAACAGGAUUAGAUACCCGAGUAC